rnacentral:tRNA from 1 species
AAGAAAAUGGCAGAGCGGCUAUGCGGUUGGCUUGAAACCAUCCUAUGGGGGUUCGACUCCCUCUUUUCUCG